CAUCCUGGGGCUGAAGCAGGUCCCAAGGGUAUGGCUGUUCGCCAUUUAAAGAGGUACGCGAGCUGGGUUUAGAACGUCGUGAGACAGUUCGGUCCCUAUCUACCGUGGGCGUUGGAAAUUUGAGAGGAUCUGCUCCUAGUACGAGAGGACCAGAGUGGACGAACCUCUGGUGUACCGGUUGUCACGCCAGUGGCAUCGCCGGGUAGCUAUGUUCGGAAGGGAUAACCGCUGAAAGCAUCUAAGCGGGAAGCCUACCUCAAGAUAAGAUUUCCCCGAGACUUUAUGUCUCCUAAAGAGCCGUUGAAGACUACGACGUUGAUAGGUUGGAUGUGGAAGCAUAGUGAUAUGUGAAGCUGACCAAUACUAAUUGCUCGUGAGGCUUGACUAUACAACACCCAAACAGUUG
rnacentral:rRNA from 1 species